AGGUCAUCAUUCGUCUACUUGUCUAGAGCAGCUCUUUGCUCUAUCAUAAGAUAGGCUGGUAAGGUUGGGGCAUCCUGGUUGAGUAUAAAACUAAUCUUUUCAGAUGUCAGGACUAUCCGAAGAUUUCUAAGCCAGUUCUUAUAAUUUGUACCGAUCAAUCGGUUGGUUUCAAGGAUGCGGGCUAGUGGAUUAGAGGCUG
rnacentral:lncRNA from 1 species